rnacentral:rRNA from 1 species
GGAGUCUGGGCCGUAUCUCAGUCCCAAUGUGACCGUUCAUUCUCUCAAACCGGUUACUGAUCGUCGCCUUGGUGUGCCAUUACCACCCCAACUAGCUAAUCAGACGCAGACCUAUCUUUUAGUCGAUUUUCUAUCUUUAUUAAUCUAUUCAUGCGAAUAAAUUACUUUAUGCGGUAUUAAUUGAGAUUUCUC